rnacentral:rRNA from 1 species
CCUACGGGAGGCAGCAGUGGGGAAUAUUGCACAAUGGGGGGAACCCUGAUGCAGCGACGCCGCGUGCGUGAAGAAGUAUUUCGGUAUGUAGCUCUAUCAGCAGGGAAGAAAAUGACGGCACCUGACUAAGAUUCCCCGGUUAACUACGUGCCAGCAGCCGCGGUAAUACGUAGGGGGCAAGCGUUAUCCGGAUUUACUGGGUGUAAAGGGGGCGCAGACGGUUGUGCAAGUCUGGAGUGAAAGGCGGGGGCCCAACCCCCGGACUGCUCUGGAUACUGUAAAGCUGGAGUGCAGGAGAGGUAAGCGGAAUUCCUAGUGAAGCGGUGAAAUGCGUAGAUAUUAGGAAGAACACCAGUGGCGAAGGCGGCUUACUGGACUGAAACUGACGUUGAGGCUCGAAAGCGUGGGGAGCAAACAGGAUUAGAUACCCCAGUAGUC